rnacentral:rRNA from 1 species
GCUAAAAAUUUAACCCCAAAGUCUAUUAAUAUUCAUCAUUUCCCCCCCCCCCCAUUAAACUAAAACAUUUAUAAGGUUUAGUAGAGGCGAUUGAAACACCUAUUGGAGUUAUAUAUCUAGUACCGCAAGGGAAUAAUGAAAUAAAAAUGAAAUAAUUAUUAAGCACAAAACAGUAGAGACAUUACCUCGUACCUUUUGCAUCAUGAUUUAACUAGUCUAAUCAAGCAAAAUGAACUUUAGUUUGAACUCCCGAAACUAAACGAGCUACUUCAGGGCAGCUUUAUGAGCCAACCCGUCUCUGUUGCAAAAGAGUGGGAUGACCCUCAAGUAGAGGUGACAAACCUAACGAGUUUAGUGAUAGCUGGUUACUUAAGAAAAGGAUUUCAGUCCAACCUAAAAUUUUUAUAAUAUAUUUAAAUAAACAUUAAACUUUAGAGCAAUUCAAAUGAGGUACAGCCUAUUUGAAACAGGAUACAACCUACGUAACUGGGUAAUUAAGUCACUAUAUAAUAAAGUAGGCCUAAAAGCAGCCACCUUUUAAAAAGCGUCAAAGCUUAACUAUACCUAGACCUAAUUUCAUUAAUUUUAAUAAACCCUUAACUCAUAUUAAGUAAUUCUAUAUUAUUAUAGAAUAUAUUAUGUUAAAACUAGUAACAAGAAUCAAAAUUUCUCCUAAAUACAAGUGUAAAUCAGACCGGAUCAACCACUGAUUCUUAACAUUUAUGAACAAAUAGUAAUAACCAAUCAAGAAAAUUUUACUAUCUUCCAUGUUAACCUAACACAAGAGUAUUUCAAGAUAGAUUAAAAGAAAAAGAAGGAACUCGGCAAACAUUAACCUCGCCUGUUUACCAAAAACAUCGCCUCCUGUAGAAAUAUAGGAGGUCCAGCCUGCCCAGUGACUCUGUUCAACGGCCGCGGUAUCCUAACCGUGCGAAGGUAGCGUAAUCACUUGUUCUUUAAAUGAGGACUAGUAUGAAUGGCAUCACGAAGGUUAAACUGUCUCCUUUUUCUAAUCAGUGAAACUAAUCUUUCCGUGAAGAAGCGGGAAUAAUUUUAUAAGACGAGAAGACCCUAUGGAGCUUUAAACUAUUAGCAACUAUCUUAACUUUACCACAACAAUAAAACUUAUAUUGAUAGUCUGACUGCUAGUUUUCGGUUGGGGUGACCGCGGAGUAUAACUUAACCUCCACGAUGAAUGGGCCCGCUCCUAAACAAAGAGUUACAAUUCUAUGUAUCAAAAAAUUGACGCUAUUGACCCAAUACUUUGAUCAACGAACCAAGUUACCCUAGGGAUAACAGCGCAAUCCAUCUCAAGAGUUCAUAUCGACAAAUGGGUUUACGACCUCGAUGUUGGAUCAGGGUAUCCCAGUGGUGCAGCCGCUACUAACGGUUCGUUUGUUCAACGAUUAAAACCCU